GGAUACAGCACAGGAAAUGUUCAACAGUCACAUGCUGUGUAUGGUGACCAUAUCUAUUGCAUACUGCCGAGCACUUCAGCGCAACCACAACUGCCAGACUACCUGUCCGAGCCGUCCACAUUAACUUCCGUGCAUGGGCUCCCAGAAGUGCCAGACUACCCGUCCCAGCCGUCCACGUCAAGGGUUUCUACGCCUAGGCUCCCAGAAGUGCCAGACUACCCGUCCCAGCCGUCCACAUCAAGAGUUGCCACGCAAUGACUUUUCCAUGCCUUGCUCGCUUCACUAUAGAUAAGAUUCUAUCAAUAAUUUUGCAGCUGCUAGAGUAGUGCACAAUGUGACCUGCCUCCUCUCUUUUUGUAGGGCUCCCAGAAGUGCCAGACUACCCGUCCCAGCCGUCCACAUCAAGAGUUGCCACGCAUGGUAAGUUACAUGCCUUGUUCGCUUCACUAUAGAUAAGAUUCUAUCAAUCAUUUUGUAGCGGCUAGAGUAAUGCACAUGUGUGACCUG